GCUCCGGUAGUAUAGUCCGGUCAAGUAUAGUGGCCUCUCGAGCCACCGACCCGGGUUCGAAUCCCGGCCGGAGCACCA
rnacentral:tRNA from 1 species